AGAGUUUGAUCAUGGCUCAGAUUGAACGCUGGCGGAAUGCUUUACACAUGCAAGUCGAGCGGCAGCGCGGGGCGACCUGGCGGCGAGCGGCGAACGGGUGAGUAACAUAUCGGAACGUAUCCAUAAGUGGGGGACAACCUAGCGAAAGUUAGGCUAAUACCGCAUACGCUCGAGAGAGGAAAGUGGGGGAUCGCAAGACCUCACGCUUUAGGAGCGGCCGAUAUCAGAUUAGCUAGAUGGUGAGGUAAAGGCUUACCAUGGCGACGAUCUGUAGCUGGUCUGAGAGGAUGAUCAGCCACACUGGGACUGAGACACGGCCCAGACUCCUACGGGAGGCAGCAGUGGGGAAUUUUGGACAAUGGGGGCAACCCUGAUCCAGCCAUUCCGCGUGAGUGAAGAAGGCCUUCGGGUUGUAAAGCUCUUUUGUUCGGGACGAAACGGUUUCACCUAAUACGUGAGACUACUGACGGUACCGAAGAAUAG
rnacentral:rRNA from 1 species